GGUGUGUUCACGUCUGUGCGUCGCUUCUCGGGUCCCAAAUUCAAAUCCUAGCUCUCCUAGAAGAUGCAGAUCUCAUCCUGCCUAUGUGGAACUUUCAGGAUGGAGCUCAGAUGCCUAGCUGGGCACAGAUGGUCUCCAAGAUCUGGCUCCUGUUGGCUUACCUACCCCAUCUCCUACACCUUCCACACACCCACCCAUGCUUCUGUCCGGAGGAACCAAGCACCUGUGAUUCUUUGACACCCUUCGCCUCCAUACUUUUGCACAUGCAGUUCUUUCUGCCUGGAUGCCUUGCUUCCUCUCUGUGGCUGACUCCUCCCCCUAUCAAAUACAUUUCAAUUGCUACUUCUUCCUCAAAUCAUCCCA